GAUGAACGCUGGCGGCGUGCCUAAUACAUGCAAGUCGAGCGAACGGACGAGAAGCUUGCUUCUCUGAUGUUAGCGGCGGACGGGUGAGUAACACGUGGAUAACCUACCUAUAAGACUGGGAUAACUUCGGGAAACCGGAGCUAAUACCGGAUGAUAUUUUGAACCGCAUGGUUCAAAAGUGAAAGACGGUCUUGCUGUCACUUCUAGAUGGAUCCGCGCUGCAUUAGCUAGUUGGUAAGGUAACGGCUUACCAAGGCAACGAUGCAUAGCCGACCUGAGAGGGUGAUCGGCCACACUGGAACUGAGACACGGUCCAGACUACUACGGGAGGCAGCAGUAGGGAAUCUUACGCAAUGGGCGAAAGCCUGACGGAGCAACGCCGCGUGAGUGAUGAAGGUCUUCGGAUCGUAAAACUCUGUUAUUAGGGAAGAACAUAUGUGUAAGUAACUGUGCACAUCUUGACGGUACCUAAUCAGAAAGCCACGGCUAACUACGUG
rnacentral:rRNA from 1 species